GACGAACGCUGGCGGCGUGCCUAAUACAUGCAAGUAGGACGCAGUUGCGAACGGGUGAGUAACGCGUAGGUAACUACCUAUUAGAGGGGGAUAACUAUUGGAAACGCUAGCUAAUACCGCAUACUCGUAGAUGGACCUGCUUAGUAUUAACUAGUAGGUAGGGUAAUGGCCGACCUAGGCAACGAACCAUAGCCGACCCGGGAGGUUGGUCGGCCACACUGGGGCUGAGAAACGGCCCCGACGCCUACGGGAGGCAGCAGGAGGGAAUCUUCGGCAAUGGGAGGAACCCUGACCGAGCAACGCCGCUUGUGUGAAAAAGGUUUUCGGGUCGUAAAGCUCUGUUGUUAAGGAAGCGGUACUUAACCAGAAAGGGACGGCUAACUACGUGCCAGCAGCCGCGGUAAUAC
rnacentral:rRNA from 1 species